CACGUAGGGUGCGAGCGUUGUCCGGAAUUAUUGGGCGUAAAGAGCUCGUAGGCGGUGUGUCGCGUCGGCCCGUGAAAACCUGCAGCUUAACUGUGGGCGUGCGGUCGAUACGGGCAUCACUGGAGUUCGGCAGGGGAGACUGGAAUUCCUGGUGUAGCGGUGAAAUGCGCAGAUAUCAGGAGGAACACCGGUGGCGAAGGCGGAUCUCUGGGCCUUACCUGACGCUCAGGCGCGAAAGCUAGGGGAGCGAACAGG
rnacentral:rRNA from 1 species